UUCGCAGUUUGAAGUGAGCUGGUUGUUACGUCUCAGCAAACUGAAUGGCAGCUGAUUUAAUCAGUCGUCCUGGGAGCAAUAAUUCUGCAAGGUUGUAACUUGCAUUGGCUGCUGUGUUUGUUCUUCCCAGGGAGAGAAGAGUUUAACAAAGCAAUGGACGAUCGUAUACAACAGAAAACAUUAGACAAAUACAGGAGAACCCAAAGCACCUCCAGCAUAAUGCAUGUUUGU
rnacentral:lncRNA from 1 species